AAACAAAAAAAAACAAAAAAAAAAAAACACCAAAACUUAAAGUUAUAUCAUUCUUAUGGCUUCCAAUCUUAAUCAGAAAUCCUAUCCAGAAUAAACUAUGAUCUGUUAUUUAUUUUCUUGGUAUUCAACAGUGUGAAGAAGGACUUGUGCUCUCCUAUGGGGCAACACACUUAAUGAAAAGGUAGAUACUUGUAAUUGAUCUUUUUACUUUGAAUACAUGUCAUGAAAAUGUGGUAUGGUCCUCAUUUAGAUUAAAAUGACAAAUAGGGCAAAGCAUUUUAUUAGUUUGGGGAGAUUCUAUCUGUACUUGUAGAGACUCUGUAAAUUGAUCUUCAUCUAGGUAAGAUUAAAACAAAUUGUUUUUACCAGUGACUGUGCAGUAUAAACUCCUGAUGCUCUUUCACCAUGUCCUUCUUUCAUUCUUUUCUCAGGGCUGUAAGGACACUACCAGCCCUGACUGGCCAUGGUUGACCUCUCCGCUGACUGUCCAUGCAUCAGAAUCCCAGUUAAAACAAGCCUGA
rnacentral:lncRNA from 1 species